rnacentral:misc_RNA from 1 species
GUGUGGAGCGGCGGCAGACAUGCGGCGUACAGCGGGAUAAGGUGCGUCAGGGGCCGGGUAGCCUUCGCGCCGUUAAAACCCGCCCGUUCGCCCGGGGAACGUCGACGGGCUACCUCGACGACGUACUACGAUCAGUGCGUAGACGACACGCGGCCGCGUACCUUACGAUCGGUACGAUGUAGCUCCGAUUAACGAUCACGCAUAACUUCAUCUGUCUGUCUUGUUUUGUUUCCGACGACUGACCUCUCUCUCUCUCUCUGUCUCUUCCUCUUCGUCUCUCUCCUCGCCAUCAUCGUCGUCAUCGCGGACGGACGGACCGGGUUCUUCCGGGUAAAAUCGGCCUCACGCGUUGACCGCGCGACCGCGAGUGCGGCGCGCGAACGAAAAGAUGGCCAGCUCGCCUACCAGCAUCGAGAACCAAAUCGACAGCUUCCUGGAGCAGUUCAAGCGCAGCGCCUCCCGGGCGAUGGAGGAGACCCACGCCGCGCACCACCAUCACCCGGGCAGCUACAACGCCUGCAGCAGCAGCAUCAGCCGCAGCCGCAGCGGCAACCUGGACCUGGAGCUGCUCGAGGCAGAAGAUGUAGAGAGUAUGACAGGCGAGAUAGAGAAUGGAGACCUGACAGUUCGAGAUGUUGCAGACCUUUUGAAAGAACAGUACGCUAUUAUUGCUGGAGGAAAGACGCGAGAGGGAUGUCCAAUAAUCACAUUUCCAGACAAUGGCAAUUUUCACAACGUGACUGAUCUAGAUUAUCAGCGUCUCAUGCUAUACCUUACUUCUGUGCCAACGUUGCAGGAAGUUGAUCUUGGAUUUCAUUUGAUCAUUGAUCGGAGAAAUGACAAGUGGAACUCGGUAAAGACCGUUCUUCUGAAAAUUUCUGCAUUCUUUCCUGGUCUGGUACACGUCGCGUACGUGUUGCGACCCGCCGGAUUUUUACAAAAGGCCAUCUCUGAGGUGUCGAACAAAUUGUUCCGAGAAGAUUUCAAGUUCCGAGUUAUAUUCCUAGCUAACGUCGCAGAGCUUUACGAAUUCAUCGAGAAGGAUCAACUGACUGAGCAACUUGGCGGCAAUUUGCCGUAUUGCCAUCGCACUUGGAUAGAAAACAGAAUUAGCUUGGAAAGAUUCUCAUCCAUGACGCAGGACGUAUCUUUCGCGUUGGAUUCCUUCACGCGACGUUUAGCUGAAGUGGAGUUUCCAAACAACACUAUUGCCACGACAACGUUAUUAUCGCAGCAACAGGCUGAGUAUAAUGAGCUGAAAGAAGAGAUACUUAGCGCCGCUAGGCAUGGGGAAGCUCUACUAGAUAGCGUACGGCAGUUAAAUGGAAAGGGCACGGCUGAUAGACUGGGAAAUGUUGCUGCAGUAGAAAGAUUACUUGUUCAGUUGGAAGAAACGGAGCGAACAUUCGACUUAUUUUGGUCGCAUCACAGCUCACGUUUGAGACAUUGCCUAGCGUUGAGACAGUUUGAGCAAGAUUUUCGGGAAUUACAGGCGACACUGGACCAGCAUCUCAAGACGGCAGAGGAAAUGACGGAAGUCGGUGAAACGCAAGCGAGAGUGGAGCAAUUACUGCACGAUACAUCAGCAUUUCAACGAAUAUGCAGAGGAGACAUAGAUCGCGCGGAGGAAGUGAUAACUGCUGGUCAACAGCUACUGUCCGGCAGGCAUCAGUGUCCGGCGGACGUCGUGGAACCCAAGUGCGUAGAGCUACAGAGAGUUUGCACUAUUCUCAGUCAGCGGCUGGAAAGACGAUUGCACAUGCUGACCAAAUGCAGGGAGCUCAUGGAACGGAUAGACAAAGCCAACACCUGGUGCACGCGAGGGAUAGAGCUGCUCGCAUCGCAGAAUAGCACUACGCCGCCGGAUCAGGCACUCCAAGAGCUGCAACAGCUGAUUGAGGCCGCGGAGGAAUUCCACCAUCCCCGGUGUAUUUUCCAGGAUUCCGUCAUGCCGGAGACGAAGGCGCUCAUCACGCAAGUUCUGCAAAGGAUAGAAGACGUGUCUUUAAUGUGCGACAAGAGGAUAAUGGCUCUAAAACAGCAAUUGAUCAAACCCGCUCGACCAGUACAAACCGUCACUCCAGAACCAGUCAAACCCUUGCAAUCACUGCCUCAAAUUGUGAAGCCGGGCAGAAUUCUCAAGAAAGCCAACACCAUGCCAAAGAUGGAGAUGAGUCCUAUAGAGGGAGAAUCUUCGUCACCAGAAAGCGAGCCGCGCGACAUCGAGGCUCUGCGCUUGAAGCGUGGCCACGUGUUGGCGGAACUUGUGGAAACCGAGCGGAUCUACGUCACCGAGCUUGGCUCGAUCAUCAAGGGCUACAAGAUGGAGAUGAUGAACGAGGCGAUGGCUCAUCUGAUACCUGCGGCGCUGGUCGGCAAAGCGGACGUGUUGUUCGGCAAUUUAGAAGAAAUUUAUAUUUUUCAUGGGGAAACGUUUUUAAGGGACUUGGAGAACUGCAUUUCGAAUACCGAGCUUGUCGCGUUGUGUUUCGUUCAAAGGCGCGAGAUGUUCUUUAGAUUGUACAGUUAUUAUUGCCAAAAUAUUCCGCGAUCCGAGAGGUUGCGCGAGCAGAUACAAAACGAACCGCAGUUCCUUGCAGCCUGUCAGCAGAAGCUCGAUCACAAGCUGCCGCUCGCCGCCUAUCUCCUCAAGCCUGUCCAGCGGAUUACCAAGUACCAGUUGCUGUUGAAGGACUUGUUGAAGUACAGCGAUGAACCCUCGUGCUGCGUCAAGUUGCAAGAGGCGCUCGAUUGCAUGCUGGUCGUGUUGAAAUGUGUUAAUGACAGCAUGCAUCAAACCGCGAUAACGGGUUUUGGGGGCGAUCUGAGUGCACAGGGCGAACUGUUGUUACAAGGCUCGUUCAGCGUUUGGAGUAGCAGCAAGCGGGAGCGAUUGUUGCGACUGAAGCCGUCUCAGCGCCAUAUUUUCUUGUACGAGAAGGCUCUGAUAUUCUGCAAGCACAGCAAACCACAGGCUCACGACAAAGCCACGUACCACUUCAAGAGAUACCUCAAGAUGUCGCAGAUUGGCUUGACGGAAUCGGUGAAGGGCGAUGCCAAGCGAUUCGAGAUAUGGUUGCAGGGUAGAGCGGAAGUGCACACAAUACAGGCGCCCAGUAUCGACGUUAAGCAGUCGUGGGUACGCCAAAUCAAAGGUGUCCUGAUGUCACAAUUAGCCGAGCUCAAAGGAAAGCAGAAUUCGGCCCUCGGCAAGUCCAAUCACAAGCCGCUGCGGCAAACAAUCUCGUGGGAAGCUCAAAGCAGCCUGUCCGGCUCUCUGCGAACGCUGUCGGUCGACGGCAACAGUGUUAUUUCACACAUGACUGACGUGUCGCAAUCCACGGAAGAAGACGCCGCCUGGAGCUCGGAAAACAGCAAUACAGACGAGGAAGAUGCCUUUGGCGACCACCCGGGACCGGCUCCGGGUGGAAGAUACGUUGCGUUGGCUGAUUAUUGCGCGGUCGGGCAGUCAGAAGUGACGAUGCGGGAAGGUGAUACCUUGGAGCUCUUAAAAGUCGGCUGUGCGGGGUGGUGGUUCGUUAAAUUAAUCGGCAGCGGCGUGGAAGGCUGGGCGCCCGCGGCGUACCUGGAACCGAUCAGUCGCAAGACGUCACGCAGUUCGCAGUCGGUGAACAGUCAAGAGCCCAUAUGAAACAGGCGACUAACACACUAGAGAGUCCGCUAGUGUGUUAGACCCUCACUCGUCUCCGGAGAUCGCCAGUUGCGCUUCUCGAAACAUUUACCGGCAGAAAAGAAAAAACGGAAACGGCAUCUCGAGAGCGUCCUAAGUGGCGAUCGUUCGAUCGUUUUUGGAAAUCUUUUACAGGACACAAACGACGAUGAGUUGCGUCAUUUUGCGUAUCUUCCUUGUAUAAUACAAUGCUUGUUGAGUGACGCGUUUGCAUCUGCGAUAGCCGAGGACACAUUAAGUUGAGAAUGCGCCGAGGUUUUUACGUUUACAGAAAUUUUAUACAGAUGAAUGAACGGGAAAUGGGGGGACGGAACGGAACGGAAGCGAGCGUUCGUUGAAUUGUACAAAAGCGCGUAGCGCUUGAAUUAAAGCGAGCUGUACACGUGCACACGCACAACGGAACACGAAUUUACGACGGUCCUGUAUAUCUAUCGAUCACACGCCACGGAUUAUAUGCAGGUUUCUGUAAUAAUAAUAAUGCACAGAGUAGUUAAUCGAUAAGGUGAGGGAGAUGCGAAUCCGGCGAUAUUGAACGCGUCCUCGCUCGACUUCGUCAAGAAGGGUCUGCGCACGGGCGUAAUCUGCAAGGUGACAGUUUCAUCACUUGCGACCCGGGUAAUCAAAUAUAUCGGCUGUACGCGAUUGUUCCAAAGUUAAAGUUAUUACUGUAAGAAAUACUGCGCGGCACCUUCGUCCAUUGCGUUCCGCCGACGAUUUACUCGACGACGCGCGUAACUUUCUUCGCCAGCUGGAUUCUCGCUCGAUGUAUUCCGCAGUAAGCCGCGAGUAUAUAGGUGGAUGUCGACGAUCGUCAGACGCUGUCGUCGAUCGCAGCACUUGUGUAUCGUCGUGCGUUGCUUAGAGCCCUUUUAGAGAAAGUUGUUUAGAGUCUUAGAUGCGUCGUCGUCGCGACCGAAUAGUACAAUUUAGCGCAGUUCCGCGGGCUUUCGAGAGCGCGGUAGGUGUUUCGUUUGCGAAGGGUUGAGGGAUUGCUUCCGGGAGAUAUGAGAUCUAGAGAAUACUGCUUGCAGAGGAAUCAUCGGGGAUAGAUUCCCCUUGAAGCCUUGAAGGGGAGGAAGAAAAAUGUGUGAUAAAAUGCGUGACCGUUAGAUCAACGCUUUUGCCGAUUAAUCGCUGUAAACACAUGCGAAGAAAAAUGUUGGAUUAAUAUAUCGCCAUUCUUAUAUAUAUAUAUAAUAUAUAUAUAGAACGUUAGACAUGGAAUUGUUGACGAGUCGUUGCGACCAAAUAAACCGGAUAUCACUGCGGACUCGGCACGAUAUAAGCCAAGCUCGCCUCGAGGAAGCAGCAAUGCGGGAGCGAGCGAAGGUGAUCAGAAUCAUAUGCAACGUGUACACAAAUUUCCUAGGAAGCUAAACCGUUAACACCAAGUAUAACAUGCAAUAUCCGAUAAAUCGUAACAUCUAAUACCUUUAGGAUCGUAAUAAGCAAUCUCAGUUCUAGCGGAUGUCAUAAUCAACCCAGCAGUUUCAUAAAUCUUUAUUACGAUGUAACACAAUAUGUAUAAAGUAGCAUCAUUUGUACCGAAAUGUUUCUAUGGAUACGGAUAACGCAGUAACUUAAGGGGAUUUUAUCAGGAUUUUCGCGAUAUGAUUUUACCCCCUAACGUCGCGCGCGGUGAUUACGUCCGCUUCCCUGGCACGUGUACACACACGAGUUUCGUCGCAACUUUUGAUAUUGCCUACAUGAGUCUUUUGUUCUAUUGAUAUUAAUAAUUAAUCUGCGUAUUAUUUGUACAAAGCACGAUAUUUAUUAGGUAGAUAUAUAUAUAUUUAUUGAAUGAAGAAUUAUUUAUAUUUCGCGAUGUAUAAUAAUUUGCGGCAAUCGAUGGGUGACCGAUUCAGACUAGUUUGGACUAGUCCGAAGCAGAUUUGCGACAAUCGCCGUGGAUGCGAUUACGUUGAGUGCUAAAUAAUUUAUGCGAUUUUGUAACUUGUAUUAUACAUUCGGAAGCUGAAAGAGUCGAGUACAAUAUGCGAUUGCGAGUUUACUUCUCGUUCAGAGAGAGAGAGCUCUCCUGCAUUUAUUUGCGACUUCAGUCCUGUAAAUCCACGUUGCUCUCCGCGUCGCGGUCUCUUACUUUCCGCUGUCUCUUCAGUCGCACUUAGAGAUUCGUAGCGCACCUUUGUAUACUCAUCCAUUUGUACGCCGUCCUUGUGUACAUUGUUCGUAAGAUUUUCGACGAAAGAAGCAAUAUGUUAGUUGAGACACGGCCGUUCUCGAUGCGUCCCUUUUACGUUCUUAGUACUGACAUUAUAGGAACGCAAACUUGCGGAUGACGGCGGGGCCGGCACGAAUUCUGCGAGCUUCGCCGCGACUCACCAGUAGAAUUUUAUCCACAUCACAGUAGCGAUCCUAUGUGCACAGUUAGCACAGACGGCUGCUCGUCACACUUGACCGUUCAUGAUCAUCACACUUCUGCAAAACAUUGUACGUGGGAUUCACUUCGUCGGAGGGCCAUUCUUUCUCCAUCGGCGUGACAUCGCGAUUACGUGACCAAAUCAAGGAUACAUGCAGGCAACGCGUUCGUUCGGAUAACUAUAUCCAGCACGUAGCAAUUCCUGACGAUCAUGAGGCGACACUUCCCUCCGCAAGCUACCGGCGCAAAUAGAAGCAGGUUUCCGCGCGUGUACGGAUCUCUCACCGUAGGCGGAAUUCUAACGUCGUACGCGUAGCUAUCGCACUUGCAUGCGUACCAGAAAGGAAAGGAAAGGAAAGGACUCGUGCGAGGAGAUUUCUUCACGGAUCGCUCCUUUCCUCUCGCCCCCCGGCAGGAGAGCGGUAGUAAAGUCUAUUUUUCCAUAUAACGGGUAAUAAGUAACAAAAAAAAGAAGAAAACGUGGCUGCCGAAAUCUCUUCUAUUUGCAGUGCACGUGCGUCGAGCACGCGAUCAUUUCUCAUUAAAUCAUUAAAGUAAUCGAGUACCGUUAGGGAUACGCUUAUUCUCUUUCUUCUUCUUCUCUUGAUUGCAUAACGCUUUGUUAACGCUGGCGGACGAAAUCGCUUUCGAGCUUCUUUCUGCACUCGCCGAAUCAUUCUAAAUUCUAUAAAGAGAAGUUACUUGGAUCUCGAAACGAGAGGGGCUAUUUUUAUAUGAGGCAGUGAAGUUGCUCAAGUUACUUGCUUCAAUUAAUUUAUCAUCGCGUUACCGAAUAAGUUUCGCUUUGAGUGGCUGUUGAUCCUGCGUUAAUUAGACGAUUGACAGAUCGAGCGGUGCGUCAACGUGCGCACGACCGAGUAGAGCGUCUCGCGUGAAGAGUCACGCAGGAGAGAUCAUCGUAUGUAUAAUAAUUGUUACGCGUCUUCAUCUCCCAUCGUCAUCGAGAAGGAAAACGACGAUUUGUAUGCGUCGACCGCUAACAUGCUUACCGGCAUGUACAACAGAGAUCUUUUGUUAACACUCGUCCGAAUCUUGCGUACAAUCAAUUGUCAAAACCUGUACGAGUCUGCAACAUUAAACGCGAGAAUUCAAGUGAAUCUGCA